AGUAUGAUGUCGUCUGAAGUCAUAAAAAGGUUAUCGGUAUGCUUAUUCAUUAGAGUGGUUUGAUUGCUGAAACUAUCUCUAGUCCGAUUAAAUGUGGUAAUAGUUUUAAGAUGAGUCAAAGAUGAUGGUUGAACAGUUCUCCAUUGACACUAACUGGAAGAAAUAAUUGUUUUAUCGUUUGUCUAAAUAGACUAGAAUGUGACCAGAGGAAGAUUAAAUGGCCAUAAUAUCAUAUAUUUCUCCAUUGACACUGUGAUACAAAGACUGAUUUUUGACACUAUAUUUGAAUAUUUGUUGUUGGCGUUAAUUGGAUUUUGUACAAAAUCCCUGCAAGAAUAUUCUGUAUCAGACUAACCGUAUAAACGCCACCCAGUACUUGUGUAGUAUUUACAUUGGCUUACAGUAAUUCUGUUUGCCUACUGUUAGACAUCGUAGUAUCAUCUCUAAUCUCUUUAUAUUUUGUUUAAUUUAAUUUUAAAAAGUUGUCUAUUUAUUCAAUAACUUAUUAUCAUGUCUUCAACGUCCAUAUAAACUGUACUGUAUUUAUAACCACUACACUGAUAUCUCAUUUGGCUAAAUAUUUUAAAUUUUCAACUACAUUAAGAUACUAACUACAAAAUUAAGAUUGUUUAAACUUUUUUUUUCGAAUACUGGUAUUAUUGUUUGAAUAUUUUUACACUUUGAGUGUCAAUACAAGUAUCUUAUAAUAUUCUAGACUUAAAACUGUAUUAGUUUAAAGAUACUUACAGUAUAUUACUAUUAAAAUUUUGACAAACAUAAUUAUUAGCCUACCAAACAAAUUAUAAAUGUAGUUUCUAUAUUCGAUUAUUUAUUAAUAUUUACUUGCCUUAAUAACAUUAAGAUAUUAAUUUAUUGUAAAAAUAUCUUAACCUAACUGUAAGAGUGAAUAUUUGUAAACUGUUGUGAAAUUAUGUCGAUGAUGGCCGGGAAAAAAUGUGUAGUCAAAAUUUGAAUACCUAAAUUAAAAAAAAACGGUAAAAUUUUUUUGCUAAAACAAUCAAAAUUGUACAACAAGUUUAUC